UAAAAUAAUUUAGUAACGGCAUGAGUCUUAGAUUUUAUUUUAGUGCUGGCCAGUAGCUUAAUCUAUUCAGAUAUAUUUAGAAAUCUGUUCCGUAAAUAAACUAAUAGACACGAAUAGUUUAACUAUUCUACAACUCGGAAAUAAAUGUUACGGGGUGGCUAGAAUAGAUAUUUAAUCUUUAUUAUUUAUAAAUCACGAAAUAUUUAGAAAAUAUUAGAAUAAUUAUGUAGUUAAUUGUUUUAUUUUAUUAUCUUGAAUAAUAUUUAAUUAUUUAAAUAGUAGCAUCGGAAUCAAAGAUAUUCGAGAAUAAAACGAGCAAAUUAUAUAACAGCGAGACGUUACUUGUGGAGCAAGAAAGUAGAUAAAAAAAAAUAUAAAUAUAAAAUUUGGUGCCCAAGUAAACUUGGGGACCAAGUAAUUUUUUUUAAUUAAGUAUUAAUUAAACCCAAUUAAGUGCUAAUGGUGAUUAAGGAAUUAGUAUAAAAACCAAGGAAUGCACUCAUUAUUUUGUUUACAAAAAAGUUGAGAAAAUCUGAAGAGUAGCAGAGGAGAUUUGGAGCAAGUGAAAAGGAGAAAGUGUUGUGGAUGGUUAUUUGUGAAGAAGGAAAGCAAAGCAAAAUGUUAAGAUUGAUUAUUUGGAAGACGAGCUUGAUUAUUCAACUUAAAUUGGAAUACUUUCAAGCUAAGGACGACAGGCAAGUUCACUAUCCCUCUCUUAACGUGAAGUUUUUCGUGCCUAUUUGGUAAUUGUGUGAAAAGUGUUGAUUGUGAAGAUAUUACAUUUCGUACCAAUGUGAAUCGAGAAAAUAUCUCUGUUUCAUUUUGAAGGCUUUAAAGAUAUUGUUCAUAUAUUACUUUCCAUAAUUCGAGUCCUCCCAUUGUACGGGAAUGAGCUGAUCCUAAUAACGAUAAUAUUUUGAAUCUUCAAAAACUUGAGGUGAAUAUAUUGCAGCGAUGAUCUCACCACAAUUUACUUACUCCCUUUUUGGAGAUCAUCUUAUUCUUUGGAAUCUAGUUCUUUUAAUUAUCUUCACUUCUACCUUCGGGUAAUCUUUGUUGAAAGGGUGCAUUGUUCGCACUUCUUUGGUAGAGAUGAGUACUGAUGAUUGAUGUUUGUUUGGGAGAAUUUCCUUGUAUUCGGAGGAAUCUGUUCAAGCUGGUCAACACGAAUUUAUUAAAUUCGUGGUAGAGUUGAGAAUUUACUAUCUGGUAAGGCAGAUAGUUUAGGGUUACAAGUGUUAGCCCUUAUGCUAGCAAAUGAGAGUGGUAGGUGUGUCUUGUGCGGUUACGAUCAGACUGCAAAGAUCACACAGGAGAACGGUAUUCACGAAACGGUGCUGAUCGAGCCAUGUAGUGUUACCGAAAGGUGGAAGACCAGCGUUUUCUUUACUUGAACUUGUGUUGUCAUUUGACGGUAGCUGCUUUGUUGCUUAACUUGAAUUGUUUCUAUGCUUUGUGUGCAUAUUCAGUUGAUUGUUGUUUUGUUCUAUGUGGACUUGCUGAGCAAUAUGAUUGCUCAUUCUUGCAUCUAUUUUAUUUCUUUUUGAACAGUAAAUAGUGAGUAUGGCACGACUCAAGAAUACCGCCCGAAAAUGGGUUUUUGGCAAAGGCAGGGAAAAGGCGCAUCACCCAAGUUGAGACUGCUAGACUACGUCGCUUGGUAGUACGAGCUAUAGUUAUUAUAAUGGUCUGAAAUCAGACUUUCCUUUAUGUAAUAAAGUUAGACUCGGUGGUAAUGUUGUAAGACGAUCGACCCUGGACUUGUGGGGCAAGAGUUGGAAUGUGUCAUAUUAAUAUGUGAUGCAAGUGUUGUUUUGAGCCAGAUGUUUAGUGGCGGACCAGAUCCGCGGGAUGUAGAUCUGGGGGCGUCACAAGUUUGGUAUCAGAGCUGUAGUUAUAUCCUUAGGAUUCGAGAAACCCUAGGAAUAUGACGAGCGAGAAUGACACGAGGAUUAAGAUAGGUAUCCUAGAAGAACCUAUCUCCAUAUGUUAGAGAACAUAUAUAGCAAAUAAACUUUUAGCAAAGGGUUAGUAGACCCUACAACUAUAAACGUUUACAGUUACGAGCAAUCGUAGUAGUAACUAUUAUUAAUGGUGUUUGUUGUAUUAUGUAGAUGUCAGGUUACGACUGAUUCUAAACCAUUGAUGAAGAUUGAGAUGAACGAUAUCGAGUAUGAGAAUUCUUCUAUACCGAUAUUAGAACCACCAACACCUGAGAUCAUUAACUUAGUAGUUGAGGAUAUCGGGGAUAAAGAAUCUUCUGAGUUCAAUAAGAGUGAUGGGAUAGACAUCUUUCCAUCUUUACUUGAGUUGACUUCUGUUCCUACUUUGACCACUUCAUUUUCAAAUACCACUUCUACUGUUCCUCCACUUGUUUCGGAGAAUGGAGACACUUUCAUUUUAGACUUGCUUCGACAUUUUGAGCCCACACCUCUUCCAUAUAGCCCUGCUACCACACAUACUUUUAAUCGUUGUCAUUUUGGGACUGCUGUGUCCACCUUUAAGUAGCAAUACUUUUGUUUAUACACUAAACGUGCCUCGAGUUCGAGUUCCACCCGCUGUUACCACUUUAUCCGGGACUUUUGUACCACUUACAGCUUUGUCCACUAUUCUAGUUUUUUUGCACUUCAGACUACUCCUUUUCAAAUUAACGGAUCUUCUAUUGUACCAGUUUCUAUACCUUCGAGUGGCAACUUUAUACCACUUUCAGAGUAUAUGUCUUUAGUUCACCGGCAAUUGAGAGAGUCUAAAUAUGACUCUAUAUUUGGGAUUCCAGGAUCUUAUGAUCCUAUGUUUGUUCUGCGGGUUCAGGAUUUCUAACCCGAGUGUUUAGUAUGGAGAUUGUGUAUAAGAUUUAUAUUUCUAUAUUCGAGGGACUUCGUACUGAUAUCGGUGAGAUUCCCUCCACCGGCCCAUGAUAUGUAAAUGUUAAACUUGUUACAAUGCUGAUAAAUAGAGCCUUUUAGGAGUUCCAACAUAGGGUCUCAGAGAUAUUUGGAUGAUAGAUUUGUUUUUUUUGACUUUCAAGAGAUAACACAUAUAGUUUGUGUGUAUCUCAGUUAUAGUAUAUGAUGUAUCUAGAGGAUAUAGAGACACUGUAUAGUAUCAGAAUAGAGGAUCGUGUGCCUCUUUUUAUUUUAGAUACAGAUGCUACAGUUUCGAUCAAUAGAUCAUUCUGGCAAUAGAGAUUUAUAUAAAGUGAUCUUUUGUAUAGUGAUGUCCAGAUCAGAUUUGAUGUAGUAGGGUGAUGACCAGAUCAUAUAUACUUCUAUAUCAUGACUUGUACCCUAAAAGCUUCGAAUAUUCUGACCACUUUCGGAAGGAUGAUCAAUCUUGUUGUCAUAUUGGUGUCUCUUUCUUUGUCUAUACCUUCCCUAUGCUUCUUGCACUUGUCAACUACUUUUGACAUGUUUCAUUCCUGUCAACCUAUCUUGCAUCUGCUACAUCAAUGAUCUAAUGUGAAAUUUUAAUGUGUGUAUUUAUUCAACCUUUUAAAGUUGUUUUCUAGAGGUUUUCAAAAAGAUAAAUGUUCAAGUUUCUAAAGUUUUAGAGUUUUCAAAAGAAAAGGUGCAACCUUUAAAGUUUCUAAAGUUUUCAAAAAUAUGCAACUUUGGUACAACUUGUAUUUUCAACCAAAAUGUGGAGCCUGUUUUCAAAAGUUAUAUAUUGUGUAUUUUACAAAAUUGCACCUUGUUGUAUCUUUGAAUAAACCUGGUAUUUUGUAUAAUGAUGAGACCUAUUAGACUGUUUCGUCUACUCUUAUAUAUUGAGACGGAUUCAAACCUGAAUGACAACCCUGUUGAUGAAUCAAUACCAGAUGCUCCACCUGGAUUUCAACCCAGAACAAAUCCUGUUCAUUUACUUGUUGAUCUUUUUCAACAACAUAUAUACCCAGAAUUUUGAAAGCAAUCCUGAGAAAAGUUCUCCGAGUCAACUUAUCAAACUUACAACCCCAAGAGUUUAAAAGGAUUAUAGAUCCCGUUGAAGCCAAGAUAUGGCUAAGAGAAAUAGAAAAGAUUUUUGAAAUAGUUGGUGAAGAAGAUGAUAAGAAAACUAUCUUUGCUACUUAAUGAAGAGGCUAAUUAUUGGUGGGAAGCUAAGCAAGUUCUAGAAGAGUCUAGUGUGAUAUCAUGGACUAGGUUUACAAAGUUAUUCCUAGAGAAGUAUGUUCCUAAACACCCAGAGAAUCAUAUAGAGCUCAAAUUUCUAGAACCUAAGCAAGAGAGUAUGUUAGUAGCUGAACAUGAAGCUAAGUUUAUCGAACUUUCGAAAUUUAUUCCGCAUCGAGUAAAUACGGACGAAAAGAAACCUAAACGUUUACAGCCGGGCUUAAAGCCCUGGAUUCAUAGUAGGGUUACUGUUCUCAAGAUUGCUAGCUAUGCGACAUAAGUGUACAAAACUUGUAUAGUUGAGGCAAGAAAUGAGUUGUUUAACAUAGAGAUUGUCGAUAGGAAAUGGAAACCCCUGCAAAACAAUAUAAAAAUAUAGAAAAGAAACGUUGGACUCAUGGUGUGAAGAAACCUUUUGUGAAAUAAGAGAUGCCGCGAGCAGAGAAUAUAGGUGAAAUAGAAGGAAAUCAAAGGUUUAGAACUUCACAAACCGCGAACGCCUUACAAGGGAGAUCCCCGUUUCCUGAAUAGAAGAUCUGUAGAAUACGCUAUUUAUGAAUAAUAUUACGUUUCACACUAUUUAAGCUCAAGUUGACAUCAAAUCUCAUUUUGAAAACUAAGAAGUUUAUUUUGUAUCUUGAGUCCUUCCUUUGUUCGGAAGCGACUACUCCUAAUAAUCAAUAUUUCUUUGAUGUUACAAAAUCUUUUGUGAUUCAUGAUUCGAGAAUUAGAAUAAAUAUACACCACAAUGAUGAUCUCAAUCUAAUAAUUCUAAGAGAUCGUCUCAUAUUUGAUCCUAUUUCUGAUUUUAUCCACUGAAAAUCCUUGAAUUGUGAUUAAAGGAUGCAUUGCUCGCAUUCCUUGGAAGAAGUGUGUUGAGAAAUAAUCAUGGUAGAUCAAGGUUGUUUAAAUUGUGAAAAAAAAACGAUUCAAAAGCAAAUCCUUGAAAUAAAUAUUCCUUGAUAUUUCUUCAAUCUGAUUGGGAUGAACAACCCUAAUUAUAGGGGACACAAGGUAUACCUAUCUGUGUGAUAGGAGUUGGAUGGGACGCCAUCACUUGUGUGUGUUGUAAUUACAAGAAGGUUAACAACCUUUAGUAGUGUCUUAAUUUGGACACGCAACACUUAGUUCAUUUGAUCAUAUUGGGCUCCCAAUCAUCCUUUUAUUUCAAACGAAAGCUACUUUGAAAACUCAUUGAUCAGUGAUACCAUUGUGAAAGACUUCUAUAUGUCCAAGAGAGUUUUAAAAAUUCUGAUUUCCUUUAAAUUCUUCUCGAAAUGGUCAGAUAUCAAAUUGUUUGAUUUUGUUCUUUUCAAAAACGCAAUUUUUCCUAAAGUGUUUUAAGAAGGUGUUGUAUGGAGAUGUCAAAUCCAGACCCCUGGAUUUGAGGGUUGUUACAUCGAUUAUCGAGAUUUAAUAAGAUGGCCCUUGCAUAGGGUUGAUGAUUGUUUUAUUUGAUGAGGAAAGCAUCUUACUUUUUGAGAUAGACACGAGAUCUGGAUACCAUCAGUUACAGAAUCGGGUCUGAGAAUGUACCUAAGACAGUCUUUAGCAUCCGACAUAAACAUUGUGAGUGCUUAAGAGAUGCCUUUCGGAUUGACUAAUGCACCUAUAACAAUUAUGGAUCUUAUGAAUAGAGUAUUAAAGAAAUAUUUAGAUAAGUUCGUUAUUGUUUUAUUGAUGAUAUUGAAUUCUCAGACGAAAGAAGAGCAUGUUGAGCAUCUUAAAAUAACUUAGAAAAAUUUUGAGGAAAGAAAAGUUAUCUGCAAAAUUUUCGAAAUGAGAAUUUUGAUAAAGCAAGUGCAGUUUUAAGACAUAUAGCUUCUAAGAAAGAAAUAUUGGUAGACCCUGUAAAGAUUGGGACAGUAUCAAAUUGGGAAAGACCAAGGACCCAGCUGGAUUUAAAAAAAAAAGUUUUCUUGAUUUAGUAGGAUAUUAUAUUUUUGAAAGAUUUCUCUAAAAUUGAGACCCCUUUGACUAAGUUUACAAGAAAAUAAGAGAAGUUUGAAUGGACCAUUAAGUGCGAGGAGAGUUUUUCAAGAAUUAAAGAAGCGACCAACAAUGACCACCAUGUUGACCUGACAUAAGAGACAGGAAAAUUUGUGAUGUGUAAUGAGCAUCCCAUAAGGAACUAGCUAGGAUGUGUUCUUAUGUAACAUGGAAAAGUUAUAGCGUAUGCUUCUAGGUAACUUAAGGAGUACGAGCUGAGAUACCCUAUCCAUGACCUAGAAUUAGUUGUUAUAGUAUUUGCUCUAAAAAAAAAAAAAUUUAGCGACAUCACCUGUAUGGUGAGAAGUGUGAGAUAUUCACUGGUCAUAAGAGUUUAAAAUACGUAGGAGCUGAAUAUGAGACAAAGGAGAUGGUUAGGAUUGAUAAAGGACUAUGACUAUUCGAUUAACUAUCACCCAUGGAAGGCAAAUAUAGUUGCUGAGGUGUUAAGUCGAAAGGAAAGAAUUAAUGUGAUGUCUUUAUUAAAGAAAUUGAUUAAGGAAAUAAAAAGGCUAGAAUUGAAGAUUAAGAAUUCAGAGCAAAAGGAGGAAAAGAUUCUUGAGAUAUUAAUGCAACCCAAGUUAUUAAGGAUCAAAAAAAAAAAAAAAGAGGAGAUUUGCUAAUAUGAUUUAAAUUCCUAAAUUGACAUAUCUUAAGUGAGAUAUUUUAGAGUAAAGCUCAUGAAUCGAGAUAUUCUAUACACCCAGGAAGUACUAAGAUGUACCAAGACUUGAAGAAAAAUUAUUGGUGGCCUAAUAUGAAAAGAGAGAUCGCUGAUUGGGUAAGCAAAUGGUUGAAAGUAAAAGUAGAGCAUCAAUGACCUAGUGGAUUAUUGCAACCAUUAGGAAUUGCAGAAUGGAAAUUGAAACAUAUCACCAUAGAUUUCAUAGUAGAUUUACCUAAAACCCGAGCCAAUCAUAAUGCUAUUUGGAUAAUUAUUGAUAGAUUAAUUUUUAUUUUUAUUUAAAAAAAAUGCGCAUUUCCUUCCUAUUACUAAGAAAUAUACCCGUGAAAAGAUUAGUAAAGAUGUAUAUGAAAGAAGUUGUAUCUAAGCAUAUAGUGUUAGUAUCAAUUAUUUCGGAUAAAGAUACGAGGUUUACAUCGAGAUUUUGGCAAACAUUUUAGAAAUGUUUUGAAACUAGGCUUAACCUGAGUACUAUGUACCACCCCUAGACUGAUGGACAGAGUAAAAGAACAAUUCAUACUAUAGAGGAUAUGUUAAGAGCUUGUUCUUUGGACUUUAAGGGAGUUGGAAUGAUCACUUACCUUUAGUGGAAUUUGCAUACAACAAUAGUUAUCACUUUAGCAUUAGUAUGGCACCUUUCGAGGCAUUGUAUGGUAGAAAGUGUAGAUCUCCUCUUUGUUGGAACGAGGUCGGGAGAAAAAGAUUGUGGGACCAAAACUAGUUCAACCCACUAAACAAUAAAUUGAAAAGAUACGAAAGGGAUUAGUUGUAAUAGAUAGACAAAAGAAAUAUGCAGAUUUAGAAAGAAAAGAAAGCCUUUGAUGUAGGGAAAAAAAUUGCUUUUAAAGAUAUCGCCCUGGAAGGGUGUAAUUAGGUGUGGGAAAAGAAGUAAGUUGAACCCAAGAUAUAUGGGACCAUUUGAAAUCUUAAGGAAAGUGGGAGUUGUUUCUUAUCAACUAGCUUUAUCCCCAGAUUUACAACACAUUCACAAUAUAUUUCACGUUUCUCUUUUGAAAGCUUAUAUGACCGACGAUCAUCAUGUUCUGAACUACGAGCCAAUAAACCUUCAAUCUGAUUUAACAUAUGAAGAAAAGCCAGUAAAGAUCAUAGAUUCAAAAUAUCAAGAGUUGAGAAACAAGAAAGUGAAAUUAGUUAAAGUAAUUUGAAAAAUCAAGUUGUAGAAGAAGCUAUGUGAGAACUAGAAGAGACAAUGAAAAAGAACUGUUGAAAGUUGUUUCAGCACCAAUCAUGAUUCCGAGGUCGGAAUCUUUUAAAGGAGGGAAGAAUGUAACACCCACAAAUUUUCAAGUACGUGAAUAAAAUAAGUAUUUAAUUUAUGCACGUAAAAUUAUUAUUAUUUAUGAGUCCAUCAUGACGGCGUUUAAAAUAAUUUAGUAACGGCAUGAGUCUUAGAUUUUAUUUUAGUGCUGGCCAGUAGCUUAAUCUAUUCAGAUAUAUUUAGAAAUCUGUUCCGUAAAUAAACUAAUAGACACGAAUAGUUUAACUAUUCUACAACUCGGAAAUAAAUGUUACGGGGUGGCUAGAAUAGAUAUUUAAUCUUUAUUAUUUAUAAAUCACGAAAUAUUUAGAAAAUAUUAGAAUAAUUAUGUAGUUAAUUGUUUUAUUUUAUUAUCUUGAAUAAUAUUUAAUUAUUUAAAUAGUAGCAUCGGAAUCAAAGAUAUUCGAGAAUAAAACGAGCAAAUUAUAUAACAGCGAGACGUUACUUGUGGAGCAAGAAAGUAGAUAAAAAAAAAUAUAAAUAUAAAAUUUGGUGCCCAAGUAAACUUGGGGACCAAGUAAUUUUUUUUAAUUAAGUAUUAAUUAAACCCAAUUAAGUGCUAAUGGUGAUUAAGGAAUUAGUAUAAAAACCAAGGAAUGCACUCAUUAUUUUGUUUACAAAAAAGUUGAGAAAAUCUGAAGAGUAGCAGAGGAGAUUUGGAGCAAGUGAAAAGGAGAAAGUGUUGUGGAUGGUUAUUUGUGAAGAAGGAAAGCAAAGCAAAAUGUUAAGAUUGAUUAUUUGGAAGACGAGCUUGAUUAUUCAACUUAAAUUGGAAUACUUUCAAGCUAAGGACGACAGGCAAGUUCACUAUCCCUCUCUUAACGUGAAGUUUUUCGUGCCUAUUUGGUAAUUGUGUGAAAAGUGUUGAUUGUGAAGAUAUUACAUUUCGUACCAAUGUGAAUCGAGAAAAUAUCUCUGUUUCAUUUUGAAGGCUUUAAAGAUAUUGUUCAUAUAUUACUUUCCAUAAUUCGAGUCCUCCCAUUGUACGGGAAUGAGCUGAUCCUAAUAACGAUAAUAUUUUGAAUCUUCAAAAACUUGAGGUGAAUAUAUUGCAGCGAUGAUCUCACCACAAUUUACUUACUCCCUUUUUGGAGAUCAUCUUAUUCUUUGGAAUCUAGUUCUUUUAAUUAUCUUCACUUCUACCUUCGGGUAAUCUUUGUUGAAAGGGUGCAUUGUUCGCACUUCUUUGGUAGAGAUGAGUACUGAUGAUUGAUGUUUGUUUGGGAGAAUUUCCUUGUAUUCGGAGGAAUCUGUUCAAGCUGGUCAACACGAAUUUAUUAAAUUCGUGGUAGAGUUGAGAAUUUACUAUCUGGUAAGGCAGAUAGUUUAGGGUUACAAGUGUUAGCCCUUAUGCUAGCAAAUGAGAGUGGUAGGUGUGUCUUGUGCGGUUACGAUCAGACUGCAAAGAUCACACAGGAGAACGGUAUUCACGAAACGGUGCUGAUCGAGCCAUGUAGUGUUACCGAAAGGUGGAAGACCAGCGUUUUCUUUACUUGAACUUGUGUUGUCAUUUGACGGUAGCUGCUUUGUUGCUUAACUUGAAUUGUUUCUAUGCUUUGUGUGCAUAUUCAGUUGAUUGUUGUUUUGUUCUAUGUGGACUUGCUGAGCAAUAUGAUUGCUCAUUCUUGCAUCUAUUUUAUUUCUUUUUGAACAGUAAAUAGUGAGUAUGGCACGACUCAAGAAUACCGCCCGAAAAUGGGUUUUUGGCAAAGGCAGGGAAAAGGCGCAUCACCCAAGUUGAGACUGCUAGACUACGUCGCUUGGUAGUACGAGCUAUAGUUAUUAUAAUGGUCUGAAAUCAGACUUUCCUUUAUGUAAUAAAGUUAGACUCGGUGGUAAUGUUGUAAGACGAUCGACCCUGGACUUGUGGGGCAAGAGUUGGAAUGUGUCAUAUUAAUAUGUGAUGCAAGUGUUGUUUUGAGCCAGAUGUUUAGUGGCGGACCAGAUCCGCGGGAUGUAGAUCUGGGGGCGUCACAAUAUCAACCAUUAAUA